rnacentral:rRNA from 2 species
UCAAAUGACUCUCGGCAAUGGAUAUCUCGGCUCUUGCAUCGAUGAAGAACGUAGUGAAAUGCGAUACUUGGUGUGAAUUGCAGAAUCUCGUGAACCAUUGAGUCUUUGAACGCAAGUUGUGCCCGAGGCCUUGUGGCCGAGGGCACGCCUGCUUGGGCGUCAUGG